rnacentral:lncRNA from 10 species
AGACUGCAGGCCUGACCCAGGCCAGAGGAGUGGAGAAGCGCAGCACUGCUGUCACCUAACUGAGCUCAGACCCUCAAGCCAGAGCUGCUCUGAAGAGCAGCGGGGAAGGGGGCAGCCAGACGGAUGUUCGCCUGCCAGAGAGAGAAGACACAGAGGGUCCUUGGUCUCUGCGCCUGCAGCAGCAGGUCCUCCUUCAACAGCUCAGAGAUGCCCAAACUGCUCUUAGCUGGAACGAAUUACUUCUUGCCAGGCUUGAAAUUCGUUUCAGGUGGGAGGAGAACAUUGCCGUAAGUGGAGAUUGCAGAGUUGGCAAAAUGAAGUGAGGCUGUAGGACUGGGACCUGGUACCUGGUACGUUAAGGGACUGAAGCCUAGAGGGUCAGUCUGAAUUGGCCUUCAUUUUUAUUUUCCACCCAUGCCCCAAAGAGUGCUUUUAAAAGUGACUCUACCAUGGCACACGUUUACCUAUGUAACAAACCUUCAUGUCCUGCACGUGUAUCCCGGAACUUAAAAUAAAAUAAAAUAAAAUUUUAAUUAAAAAAUUAGGAAAUAUCAUUAUUUUAAAGAGAUGUUACCGGUCCAAAUAAAUAGAAAUGUAAAUAUGAAGUCAAUUGCUAAUUGUGCAGAUACAAUGUUGUUUUCUUUUCCUUUUUUUUUUUUUCUUUGAGACGGAGUUCUGCUUUUGUCGCCCAGGCUAGAGUGCAAUGGCGCAAUCUUGGCUCACUGCAACCUCUGCCUCUCGGGUUCAAGCAAUUCUCCUGCCUCAGCCUCCCGAGUAGCUGGGAUUACAGGCACCCGCCCCCAUGCCUGGCUAAUUUUUGUAUUUUUAGUAGAGACGGGGUUUCACCACAUUGGCCAAGGCUGGUCUCGAACUCCUGACCUCAGGUGAUCCACCCACUUCGGCCUCCCAAAGUGCUGGGAUUACAGAUGUGAGCCACUGUGCCUGGCCCCAAACUUGUUUUCAUUAUUUGUCUGUAGUCUCUGGGAAAGGAUUGAAGUAAGGCAGUUUUCCAUGGAAGGUGUGUAAGUUGGUCACCAGUCAAUAUUUCUAAAAUGUAUAGUUUUUAAAAGUAACUACAUUUGUGAAUUUCAUGGGACCAAAAGUUCUGUCUUGUUUGUAACAUUCAAGACAAGAAAUGAACUCAAUAUCUUUAAUGGAAGCAAAAAUAAAUAAAUCUCUGUUCCCUUAAAAAAAGAAAAUAAAAGUGACUCUACCAUUUUGCAUUCCCUUUUAUUAUAUAAAGUUUCGAGUACUUUUUUGUGUCCAGGUCUCCCAGUUGACACUACUUGAAGCAGAAGAAUUGCUCAGUUGAGACAAUCAACAAAAAAGAGAAUAAAAUGGUCAUUGUUCUAAGCCUGUAACUGUUGGGGUCAUUUGUAUGUAACAGUAGAUAAUCAGAACAGGGUGUGAGAUUGGAGGUUGGUGUAUUGUCAGCCAGUUGAGUUGGCCUCAUGCAGAUUGUUAAGGGCUUUGGCAGACCUGCGUUAUUUCUUCGGUGCUUGUGCUUUGGGGAGUACUAGGGUUCUUCAAUUUGGAUCACAUCAGUCCAAAAGCAGUAGACUUUUCUAGUGAUCAGAAUAAUUGCUGCAUGUCACAAAAGAACAUGAACCCAGACUCAGAAAAGAAACACAGGAAACCUUCAACAACAAGGAUCUUCACAUUGGGGCAAAGGUUACAUUUUUUGGCUCGCACUUUCUAAGUCUCCUAAUAAUACUGAUAUCACUUGUUUUGGGGUGUGUGUUGUUACUGUGAUGGGGCAGGGAAAGGAAAGUGAGGGCAGGUAGGUGAAGUUAUCUAUCUGGGGCUUCUUGAACAUAUCACAACUGGGGUGGGGACUGAGGUUGUAGAAUCUUGUCAACAUUUACUCUUUGGAUCGGGGUUUGGGAUAACCUAUUAACUACCCUCAACCAUGAGGCUGAUAGAAUCUUCCCAGAGCUGGCAAGUGAGACAUCUAUGUUGAUUCCACCCGUACCGCCAGGAGUCAAGGAAGGGGCCAGGACUCCUGAAUCAGGUUAGAAGCAGGUAACACAGUCAGAACAGUACAGAAAAUGAGGACAAGGGGCUUGAAAUGACUUGGCCAGGGUCAAAGCCCAGAAUGAAAGCCCGGUUACUAAUUUCAAAGCCAGAAUCCUUUCUGUUGUUUCUUUCCACAUUCCUUCAAAUGCCCUGAUUUCCCAUAUCCUGCUUUCAAGAGACCAUUAUGAUGUUAGUCAUUCACAUUUUAAUUGAAUAAAUGUUUUGCAGGAGGAUGUAAAUUUUUUUAAAAAGAUUGUUGUUGAAUAGGACACAUAGGCCAAAAUACAAUCCAGAUAAAAUAACUUUGCUCUAAUAUAUCUACAUAAUUAUUUAAUUCCAUAAUAAAAAUCAUUUAUGUUAUCUGUUUGGCUAAAACAUGUCUCCUCUCUUCAACUUCCAUAUAUGUAGGCAGCAAUUCACAGGGCAAGGAUGUUGCCACGGGGCAAAGAUCCAGGUGAAGGUGGUUUCAGCUUCCACAUUCCUUAGACAGGUCCGAAUUUGGCUGAGACUUUGAGGCCAACUCAGACAUUCCCAGGUGAGUUGCUCCAGGUUGAUGGGAAUGUGAGCUCCCUUUAAGUAUAUCA